CUAUUUUCUUCCUUGAGGUGUGAACCACCUGCUAGGGUGUGAAUGGGCGAGAGUUCACAACAGGUGUCUGGAGAUCUUAAUUACAAGGCUUGCAUCUCCUGUCCACCCCACACCUGUUGUGCCUGCUUUGUGGGCAACGUCUGUCCAUCCCUGGCCUCCUGGCCUUCUCAUUUCCUCUUGCAGUGGCCGUGACAGUGGAAGGAGGGCCGAGGACAGCUUGCUCACUCAUGCUCCCCACACACACCUCCCUUGUCUCCCCCACACAGGCAUGGGGUCACUGCCCGAUUGACUCCUGGUUGUCAGCAGUACUUUUCCAAAAGCUUCCAGCCCUUUGAGCCCUUUCAUCUGCUAGGGCAGAGACACAGAGCAGGAUGGGGGAAGACUUCCCAUUCUCCAGGCUUUCCCUGAAGAAACUCUGCAAAAAUCAGGCUCAGGCAGCUCCUGAGAGCCAGCCAGGCAGGAUGGGUUGAGUGAGGUGUGUGGGGUGGGAGAAAACCCUUAGCCAAGUUCUCAAAGGGAUGGGUGAGGAGGAUGAGGCUGACCCCAGGUGUCUCUCCUCUGCACAGGUCGUCUCCUCCCAAAUCCACUUCCCCAGAGAGGCCCUAGGUCAGGGGGCAUCACAGCCACUGACCACUGACCAACUCCAGCUAUGCUUGCUCAUUAUUGCCUGGUGCUUUGGGGCUUCCGCAGCAGAGUUAAGAGCUUGCAACCUCAUCCAUAUGACCUCAUCCUACCUUGAUGAGGUAUUUCCAAAUAUCGAUGCUCUGGCCCUGGCUGGGAAAAGUUUGCCAACCCCUGGACUCAGUUAAACACAAGGCCUAAGUGGGGAUUUGGCACGUCCUCACAGAGCACUGGGAACCUGAAGUCAGAAAACGGGGUUUGUGGCCUUCUAGUUUCAGUUACACAGAUAAGGUAUUUUUUUCCUCCCCUUAUAAAACAUACAGGGGUUACAAAUAAAGCUAAGUCCUGUUGACCCCCUCGGAGGGCUGGCCGCGAGGACCGGGUCAUUUCCCCACUCUGCCCUGUUUUCCUAUCAGGAUAUUCCCACUCUUCCUACUUUGCUGUGGUUUGAAAGGACGGAAUGAAUGCGUGCUUUCAUUCCUUCAGUGUGCAUGGGGUGCCUCCUGUCUCCUCUGCACCACGGGAGAUGCAGAUUUAUUCCCCUGGCAUUCCUCUGGCGUUGAUGGAGCCUCUCUCUGUACCAGUACCAGUUUCUGUGGCUGCCAUGACAACAUGCCACAAUGGGGGUCUUAAACAGCAGACAUGUAUUCUCACAGUUCCAGAAGCCAGAAGUCCCAGUUCAAGGUGUGGGCAGGGCCAUGCUGCCUCCGAAGGCUGCAGGGGGGAUCCUUCCUCGCUUCCUCCCGCUCCUGGAAGCUGCUGCCAAUCCCUGCUAUUGCUUGGCAUGGGGCUGUGUCAGUCCCGUCUCUGCCUCUGUCGUCUCUGGCGUUCUUCCUUCUGUGCCUUCUCCCGAUAAGGACACCGGGCAUUGCAUCGAGGACCCACACUAAUCCAUAUGACCCCAUCUGAUCUUGAUCACAUCUGUAGAGGUCCUAUUUCUAAGUAAGGUCACAUUACAGGUUUCAAGUACACAUCAUUUGGGAGACAUCCAGUACAGGGAAUCUUAGACUGGGCAGUUAGGUAAGGCUCCUCCAAGCAGGGGACAUUUGCGUGGAGACCUGGGUUGUGAAGGAGUGAGCACGUGCAGAUCCAGAGACAGUAAAUGCCGAGCCCCGACGAGGCAGGACCAGCCUUGCCCCGUGUGAUUGCCAGCUAGCAUGCGUGCAGAAAAGUGCACAGAUCCUAAGCGGACAGUAUGGCAGGUGGUCACAAAUUCAGCACCACUGUGUAACCAGCACCUGGCUCAAGAGGCAGAGCAUUUCCAGCUAGCCCCUGCCCAGCGCCUCCUGCCAGUCACUACCUGCCCCCCACCAAGAGCAGCCACUCUCUUAACUUCGAAAAACAUAUAUUAGUGUUGCCUGUUUUUGUACUUUCUGUAAAUGGAACUGGAACAUAUAUUCUCAUUUGUGUCUGGCUUCUUUGAUCAUCAUUCUAUUUCUGGGAUCCGCACUUGCUAUGUUGCAGUUGUAAUCCAUUCAUUGUUGUGACCAUCUAGAAUUCCAUUGUGUGAAUAUGUUGCAAUAUACUUACCCAUUUUACCAAUGAGCAUUUGGGUAGUUGGCAGGGUUUGGGCUAUUUCAAAUACUGCUCCUGUGAGCAUUUCUUUGGCAUCCACAUGCAUGUGUCCCUGUAGAGUGUAUGUGUAGGUAUGGAAUUGCAGGGCCACAGGGUAUGCAUAUCUCAGCUUUAGUAGAUAUUUAUUUCCAGGCAGGUUUCCAAAGUGGUUGUAUCAGUUUGCGCUUCCUUCCACGGUCAGUUUAUGGUGUUCUGGUGCGCCUCAUCCUCGUCCACACUUGGUGUUGUCUGUCUUUUCCUUAGCCAUUCUGGUAGGUGGAUAAUGGCUACAGUGGUAUUACUGUAUUAUGGUUCUAAUCUGUGCUUCCCUGAUAGUUCAGGAAGUCAAAUAUUUUCUCCUAUGUUUAUGAGCCAUUUGGAUAUCUAUUGUCUCUUGUGGGAUGUCUGUUCAAGUCUUUUGCCCACUUUUUAAAAACUGG
rnacentral:lncRNA from 1 species